UACGUAGGGGGCAAGCGUUGUCCGGAAUUAUUGGGCGUAAAGAGCUCGUAGGCGGUUUGUCGCGUCUGCUGUGAAAACCCGAGGCUCAACCUCGGGCCUGCAGUGGGUACGGGCAGACUAGAGUGCGGUAGGGGAGAUUGGAAUUCCUGGUGUAGCGGUGGAAUGCGCAGAUAUCAGGAGGAACACCGAUGGCGAAGGCAGAUCUCUGGGCCGUAACUGACGCUGAGGAGCGAAAGCAUGGGUAGCGAACAGG
rnacentral:rRNA from 1 species